rnacentral:rRNA from 1 species
ACUCAAAGGAAUAGACGGGGGCCCGCACAAGCAGCGGAGCGUGUGGUUUAAUUCGAUGCAAAACGAAGAACCUUACCAGGGCUUGACAUACAAGAAGUAGUGAACCGAAAGGGGAUCGAACUGUUAAAUCAGUAGCUUGAACAGGUGCUGCAUGGCUGUCGUCAGCUCGUGCCGUGAGGUGUUGGGUUAAGUCCCGCAACGAGCGCAACCCUCGUGCUGUGUUAAUUUCCACAGCAGACUGCCCGGCACAACCGGGAGGAAGGUGGGGAUGACGUCAAGUCAGCACGGCCCUUACGCCCUGGGCUACACACACGCUACAAUGGGAUGGACAAUGCGUUGCUAAGGAGCGAUCCGGAGCUAAUCGCAUCAAACUAUCCCCCAGUUGGGAUUGCAGGCUGCAACCUGCCUGCAUGAACGUGGAGUUGCUAGUAACCGCAGGUCAGCAUACUGCGGUGAAUACGUUCCCGGGCCUUGCACACACCGCCCGU